UCCCUAGUAGCUCAGACGGUAAAGCAUCUGUCUGCAAUGUAGGAGACCCAGGUUCAAUCCCUGGGUUGGGAA
rnacentral:tRNA from 1 species